UCCAACCUCCCACCCGUGUUUAUUUUACCUUGUUGCUUCGGCGGGCCCGCCUUAACUGGCCGCCGGGGGGCUUACGCCCCCGGGCCCGCGCCCGCCGAAGACACCCUCGAACUCUGUCUGAAGAUUGAAGUCUGAGUGAAAAUAUAAAUUAUUUAAAACUUUCAACAACGGAUCUCUUGGUUCCGGCAUCGAUGAAGAACGCAGCGAAAUGCGAUACGUAAUGUGAAUUGCAAAUUCAGUGAAUCAUCGAGUCUUUGAACGCACAUUGCGCCCCCUGGUAUUCCGGGGGGCAUGCCUGUCCGAGCGUCAUUGCUGCCCUCAAGCCCGGCUUGUGUGUUGGGCCCCGUCCCCCGAUCUCCGGGGGACGGGCCCGAAAGGCAGCGGCGGCACCGCGUCCGGUCCUCGAGCGUAUGGGGCUUUGUCACCCGCUCUGUAGGCCCGGCCGGCGCUUGCCGAUCAACCCAAAUUUUUAUCCAGGUUGACCUCGGAUCAGGUAGGGAUACCCGCUGAACUUAAGCAUAUCAAUAAGCGGAGGA
rnacentral:rRNA from 1 species